GUCGCCCACCUUCAUCUCCUCUCCUACCACGGCCGUCUCUGACCUCCGGCUAAUUCCCGCCGCCCACCUUGCUACGGACCGCCUCCGCCUCCGCCUCGCCCCCCACCUCCUCACGACCGCCCCGACCUCCGGCUCAUCCCCGAUGCCCACAUCCUCACGGUUGCCCCCGACCUCCUCUCGGCCAAAGGGGGUGGACGGAGGCCGCCGCCGUGGCGACAUCAGCGAGUUGGCCGGAGGUGUUCAUCCCUCUCCCUUCUCUCCACUGAUUGUCUAUACGUCGUCCAAACCAUUGGUAACAGUGUGGAUCUUCCCAGGGUGCAUAGAAGGGUCUUGAAAUGGAUACAAAUGGAUGUUUCAGUGAUUUGUAUGGAUGCCUCACAGCCAACACAAAGUAUCCAAAACUUGGGAAAAUGGAACCUUGGUUUUUAUCAGAUUGCUAAGAUGAGGAAAAUCAAUGUCGAAAAAUAUUUGAUAUCGGCAUUGGUGGAGCAUUGGCGGCCCGAGACAAACAGUUUUCACCUACCUGUAGGAGAAAUGACUAUUACGUUGCAAGAUGUCAGUUGUUUGUGGGGGUUGCCUAUCCAUGGUAAACCACUUGUUGGAAAAGUUGAUACACAAUGGUCAGAAUUAGUUGAGAGGUUGCUUGGGAUUCCUGUGGAUGAACAACACAUGAAACAAAAGAAAAGGUGAAAAGGUGAUGAUGAUACUGUUGUGAGGAAUUCACAAUACUCUCUAGAUUUGGGUAAACUGCGGGAACGCUUCCAUGUGUUGUCGGAUAAUUCAAUGGCCAGGGAGAUAAAUUGGCAUGCUCGAGCACUUGUUCUAAAAAUCCUUGGCAAUUAUGUUCAAGAAUACAACCGUGUUGAUGCAACAGUGUGGCCAGACGAUAUUCCCUUUGAUGUAGCAAGUUUACCUCAUUAUAGACAUUGGUUCCAACAAAAUGGUAUGUACAUAGUAUUCUUCGAUUCUCAAUGCUUGGGCGGCCUAGAUAAACCUAUUCCAUAUCCUCGAGAUAGCAUCGAAUGGACUGGCUACAUGCCUAGUGGUCCGCCACUGGCUCAAAUUGGUUAUGCAAGAUAAAGAAUGCCACACGGGGUAUUAAAUGUGCUAUUACUAGUGGAUGCAAGAAGAUAGGGAAAACUAUAUUGAGGUCUUGUGUAGGAAAUUUGUUGGAUUUGAACUUGGAGCCUGGGCUGCAAAGCAUGCUUACUGAGGCUAGGUUACCACUGUACAUUGAAGAUAUUCCAUUUGAUGAAGAGGUUUUUGAUAUUGCUAACCCACCAAGCCCCCCAAAAGAGAGCAAAUCUGAUGUGUUCAAUCAAUGGAUAUACUCCGGCAAAGGUUUUACAACAUACCUUAAGGCUGGUGAAGCGAUGAGAGAUGGGGAACCGACAACACAAGAUGUAGGUCAAGUUACCCAAUAAACCAACUCGAAUGAGCUUGGUAGAGCUAGUGGGCUUAUAUAAAGGAGUUCGUAGCGAGUAGUUGGUUAGAAUGGUCAUCUGUAGAGCGACCUGGAGGUGUAGCUGACCAAAUCCUUUUGUAUUUUGCCCCAAAAAGCAGUCCAGGAAUUUUGUUUGUGCUAUGACAGAUAUGGAUUGUAAUA